rnacentral:rRNA from 1 species
GACGAACGCUGGCGGCGUGCUUAACACAUGCAAGUCGAACGGAAAGGCCCUGCUUUUGUGGGGUGCUCGAGUGGCGAACGGGUGAGUAACACGUGAGUAACCUGCCCUUGACUUUGGGAUAACUUCAGGAAACUGGGGCUAAUACCGGAUAGGAGCUCCUGCUGCAUGGUGGGGGUUGGAAAGUUUCGGCGGUUGGGGAUGGACUCGCGGCUUAUCAGCUUGUUGGUGGGGUAGUGGCUUACCAAGGCUUUGACGGGUAGCCGGCCUGAGAGGGUGACCGGGCCAAUUUGGACAGAGAUUCAGGCCCGAACUCCACGGGGAGGCAAAGGGGGGGAAAUUGGACAAUGGGCUGAAGGCCUAUGCAGCCAAGCCGGGCGGGGGGUGACGGCCCUUGGGGUUUUAAACCCUUUUGCCCGUGGAGAAAGGUGGGUGGACGUAAUGGGUAAAGAAGCACCGGCUAACUACGUG